GACGCCAAGGCCCUGGAGAUCGCGCUGCUGCUCUCGGUAUGCAUGGCCUUGCCAUCCAAUGGCUACUUCCGUCUGUGCAAUCUGGUUGUGCUGGUGUUGUGUCAAUUGCCAUCUAUAAUGAAUGAUUUUGUGUGCUGUCAAUGUCAUUCUGAACUGUAAAUAGUAUGGUAGGUAUACGCAGCUGUUACGGCUUUUGCAUUGGACCUAAUUUUUUCCCAUCGAUAUCAGUACUUGAAGUGUCUUUGGAUGGAAAGGAAAUUAGGAAGACGCUUUUGUUUGUUAUCUCCAUGAUAAGUUGCACUUGAGGACAAUUGACAUGGAUGUAGAAAUUUAGCGGAAUAGAAAUCUUUCACUCUAAUCGUUUUCCCCUCUUGUGGCAUUCUGUUUGCACUGCGAGUUUACAUCUACAUCCCUGUUAAUGAACAGGUGCACUAUUCAACGAAUUAACUGCAAAAUUGAUGGAAAAAUAUUUAGAUAUGCGGUCUGCUUAAAGAGAAGGCCACACUGUGACUCUUGAUAUCAUCAUGCAUCCAAUAUGUUGUCUGAACUCAUGUAGUACUACAAAAGAUCUGCUGUUGUUGAUUUUUAUCAAAAGAAAUGUUCUGUUUUGUAACUAAGCUAACUGGAUUGAAACAUAUGCCUUCUCACCUUUUAUAACAUAAAUGGCAGUACUCUAUUCGUCCUUUUUCUCAUAGAGAGGUCCAUUUUGAAAUCAUGCAGCAACUUGUGGUGAAUGAGGCGACAAGUACAGCUCCUACUGCAGAUUUGGAACAACCUAGUGAGGUGCCUUUGAAUUCCAGUACAUUUAUGUUUCUUUCCUUUCUCUUUGUAAUAUCAUGAACACCCCAUCAAUCAUGGGCCCCUGUGUGGGAAUCUGCCCCAAAUAAAAAUAAGAAAAUGAGAACCUUGGGUUAUCUGCUUAUAUGUUACUGUAGUAGAAGCUCUACUUUAUGCUAAUACUUGCUUGUGUAACAUUUUUCAUGGCAUACUUCUAAAUGGACAAGUACGUGCGACGUCCAGCGUCAACGAUGAUGUGGACCAUAUGUUCAACUGCAUCCCCAUCCAUUGCAUCGACACAAAGAUGUUUUGCAUCAGCCUGUCAUUGCUAAGGGAGAAGCGGGACUUGGAGAAGAAAUCUUUCCAUUAAGCAGAUUACAUGUUUGGUUGCUGUGAAGUACCAGAUAGGCUAGUUCUAUUUUUUUCACGAUCCUGGAGUAUUUCAGCAGCUCCAUGCAAAUGCAGUAGCGUUAGGUUUCUGAUUCACCUUUUGUAAAAACUUAGUUAGCCCGCAGUCAGUCAGUAGUAGCUCAGCCAGCCAGCCAGCCUCAAAUAGUAUUGCUGGAAUGAAUGGUUGUAAUAUAAUAACAUUGCACGUUGCUUUGAAAAUGUAUCAGAACUGGGCUAGGCCCAAGAUAGCUUGUGGUGUGAUGUGUUGUAAUGUCAA